rnacentral:rRNA from 1 species
UACGAAGGGGGCUAGCGUUGUUCGGAAUCACUGGGCGUAAAGUGUGCGCAGGCGGCCGAGCAAGUCGAGUGUGAAAGCCCCGAGCUUAACUUGGGAACUGCGCUCGAAACUACUUGGCUAGAGUGUGGCAGAGGGAGGUGGAAUUCCACGUGUAGCAGGUGAAAUGCGUAGAUAUGCGGAGGAACACCGAUGGCGAAGGCAACUCCCUGGGCCGACACUGACGCUCAUGCCACGAAAGCGUGGGGAGCAAACAGGAUUAGA